rnacentral:lncRNA from 1 species
UUUUUUUUUUUUUUUAAAGAAAAGAAACAUACCAGACUAUUGCUGUAAAACUAUUUGGCUAUUUAUAUUAUUUAUUCUGGUUUGUGGGGGUACUGUUUUGUUUUGUAACCUUUAAACGGGGCAGGAGAAGGGCAGAUUCCAAAUGGAGGCGGACAGCUCAAAGGCUACUGCUCUUGGUUUUGAGUUAACCUGAGUUAUUCUGGGCCACACUUUCCAGAACCCCUACUUCGGUCUGAGCAGCCUCCCCCAGCUAAUCACAAUCCCACAAGUCCAAGACAGCGGAGGCCAGGCCAGCCCCCACGGGUUAUCCAGGGCACCUCUGGUAGGUUUCCCAGGCCUCCUUGCUCUAUCUGUCAUACCAGAAGCUUAUCUGGCAGGACCCUGGGCAUGUGCAGUGGAACUGUAAUGAGGCCUGACUUCCACCAAGGACAGAACCUUCCUGCCCAGCUUAUUGGCGGCUCCUGCCACUUGCUUAGCACCUCCUGAAGCAGUGUCUUUAUGAAACACGAAUUAAAGUCCACUAGUGCCAGGGGAUGACAGGACCAGGCCCUGUGGAUGUGGUCACUGGCCUGAAGGAGGUGAGCAUCCAGCCUGGUUACGGGACACCUGCAAGCCCUGGUUCUUCAAAACUUGAAUGCAAGGAUGUGGUCCACACUGCACUCCACUUCAUCCCUGGCCCCGGAAAUUCUCUGCUCCUGGAUGUUGCAGGGUUCUUUUUUUCCUCUUCAUUUCUUAGUCCUACGUUUUCAUGUAGCAAAUCUCUUCAUUUAUGGUAUAAAUGAAACGCUCAGGUUAAUUCUAGCAGUUUGAAGCUGGGUCCACUGCAGAAGAAGACUGUUGCUAUACCUGUGAGAUUAAACUAUUUUCAAAAAUGAAACCAUUCAUAUGGUAUUCCCCUGGGCUGGCAAUUACUGCCAUCUUCCUUUGAAUAGAGAGUACUACGAAAUGAGUUCUCUGCCAGAAGCCAAAAACCCUCAGAAGAGUCAGAUUUAAGAGCCUCCUUGCCCCUUCUCCCUAGUGGUGGGGGUGUGGUAUUUAGUACAAGGUCAAUUAGACCUGAAUUCAAACCUAAUUCUGCUACUUACUCAGCUGUGUGGCCUUGGCCAAGUCACUAAACAUUUCUGAGGCUGCGUUCUCAUCCUGAACAUAACAAUACUAUCUACCUCAAAGAGUAGUUAUGGAUAUUAAGCAAGAGAGCCAGUAUUAAGCACCUAGGAAAAAAAAUGAAAGCAUCAACCUUUUUUGUGCUUAUUCUGGACCGGGUACUUGUCAGUGCAUUACAUUUUUUUUUUAAUUCAUUUCACUCUCAUUGUAAUAUUAUUACCUCUAUUUUAUAAUUGUUAAACUGAGGUAUGCAAUAAGUAAUUUGCUCCAAGUCGCACAGGUAUUAAGUGCCAGAGACAGGCUAUAAGCCCAGGGCAGCCUGACUCAGUGAGGCUUCUUAACCUCAGGGUUUUCUCCUCAUCUCCCUACCCUAAAGAGGUGCUGACAUUCAUGCAGGAUUAGCCACUCCUGCAUGCCAAUUAAAUUGCAUAUGCAUAUUUAGGUAGGUUCCUUUUACUGUAAUUUUGGUCAAGUACAGAACAGGUCUGCCCUCAGCUUCCACAUCUAUAAAAAGAGGAUAUUAACAGUUUUCCUUCACAGCAUGAUUGCUAGAAAUAGAUGAGUUAAAUCGAGGUAAAGGGCUGAACAGAGUGCUUGGCAUUUACAACAGGCCCCAUGUAGGAAGUGCCUUUAUCAUCCAAAGUCCUGAACAAUGCGAUGUAAUAGCAGAAUUCACUUGGUAAAGGAGAUUUUGUACCUGGCUAUCCUUGUUCUCUGGCAAAUGUAUGGCAUUUAAAAAUAGACCGAAGGUCUUAUUUAAUCAAUAAGUAAUCAGGUCCACAGGAUUCUGGUUAGAAAGAAAUUAGGCCAGGCUGAAAUGAAAUUAGACCAAAAAUAAGAAUUUUAAUAAUUAAAAGGAAAACAUCAGAGCAGUCUUUCUGGAGGGUGCCUUCAGAUUAUGAAUUGUACUGUACCCAUUGGACAAAUGCUAUGGCUACUGGGCACGGAGCUUGUGAAAAAUUUAUGGCCUGGUAAAAAUCUUUGGGUGAUAUAGGUUAAAACAACUUUAUCCCCACUGCCAUUGAAUACCAUGAAUUCUAGAAGCAAAAAAGGGCAGCUUUUGUGAACAUGUUGGACAUAAAACAAUACACCACAUUAAAGGAAAAGCUGGACAGCAGAUAGACAAACUAGCUCAUGUGAGCACUCCAGCAAUAAUUUUUAGGGCUUUGUAUUUACUUCUCUUGCACAUUUAGAUUUGCAAUGAAAAGCAAAAGAAAGAAAGAGCAACACUCCUUACUUUAGCUGUCUUUACAUGUUACAUUCAGAUAGAAAACAGAAUUUCACUGCUCAGAUUUGGAGGGAAGGGGGAGCUCAUCUUAUUUCACGUCUGUAGCUGCUGCCACAGCCACAGCACCAUGUUCCAAUCAUGGAAUUCAUAAUGUAAAUCUCUUGCAGAUGAUACCACUGGAAAACAGAAACUGCCAUGGAUCCAGAAACACAUCCAAAUUUCUGUAAAGUUCUUAUCUGAGAGCCCAGAGGCUGGUAUUCAGUGUUUUUCGUUCAGUGAGUGAGGCCCAUUGGGAAAUCUACAUUCUUUGGGAGACUUAAGAAGAACUUUCAACCAUUCUUUGACUAUACAAAUACCUGCUAUCCCUUCUUCCACAUGUGACAAUGCUGAACAUUUCACAACUGCCCCAACUUAUCUCUUGAACGUUUAAAUCUAUACUGAAAAGGGUUUGUGUCACACACAUACAGUCUAGCUUAUUCUUUAACUGUCAAUCAGAGCCCAUACAAAUUACAGGUGGUGUCAAAGAGAAGACCUCUAGAACCGUCCAGAAAAAAAAGGAGAAGUUGCAUUUCUUGGUUGUUAGACACAAGAUCUUUCCUAAGUUAGAACAUUAUAGGGAAUCUUUUAAAUCACCUUAGGGAUACCCCUGGGGCAUCAUCACAGCUUCACGUUGAGCCUUUUGUCUCCCUGUGAUGUGGGGGGGGGGGGGGGGGGGAGUCUCCAAGACUGGCUUUGCUAUUCAAAUACAGACAUCUGCUGCACUCCUAAUUCCUCCUUCUCUUUAAAAGGCAGCACCCCCAAGAAACUCUUGAAUAUUGUGAGGCCUAAAAGUUGGGGGUGGGGAGGAAAUCUUUGUCUCCCUAACACAUUCAUCAAUUCCCUCCUCCUUCCCAGCACCUCCCUCCCCAGAACCCCCUACACCCUCAGGACACAUAAGCAGCGACUCCCCCAAAUACACAAGGGCUGGAAAGAUUCAUGUUGCAAUACCCUCCUGACAUUCCUCUUCCCGCCCUCAUUUUAAUUCACUCACUUUUCUUUUUUUUUUUUUUCUUUUUAAACAAAAUGUAAUUACUUGACUGUCAGCCUGGGCUGCACUCUGGGGCUUUUACUCUUUUCAACACAGCUGCGCUUCGGGCUUUGAUGCUGCUGUCCACGCAGCUUGUCCCAGCCACAGCCUGGCUCUCGGUAAUUCAACAUUCAAGUGCAUAUUUAUUUUUAAACUGACCUCUCCUAGACUGUACAGUAUAAAGGAGGUCCUGCCAAAAAAUAUGCUACUUUCUAUUUAUAAGAUGAAACACAUGCCUCCCAAAGUCGAGAGGAGGAUGGAGUACAAUAAUUCAUAACAAAAAAAUGACUGGCCAGAUCCAUUCGUCCUCACAUGUCUGAUACUUGUCUGUGUCAAGACAGUUUCAAGGAGAAAGAAAAAAAAAAAAAA